UUUACUAUAGCUUGACACUGAACAUUGAGCCUUGAUGUGUAGGAUAGGUGGGAGGCUUUGAAGUGUGGACGCCAGUCUGCAUGGAGCCGACCUUGAAAUACCACCCUUUAAUGUUUGAUGUUCUAACGUUGACCCGUAAUCCGGGUUGCGGACAGUGUCUGGUGGGUAGUUUGACUGGGGCGGUCUCCUCCUAAAGAGUAACGGAGGAGCACGAAGGUUGGCUAAUCCUGGUCGGACAUCAGGAGGUUAGUGCAAUGGCAUAAGCCAGCUUGACUGCGAGCGUGACGGCGCGAGCAGGUGCGAAAGCAGGUCAUAGUGAUCCGGUGGUUCUGAAUGGAAGGGCCAUCGCUCAACGGAUAAAAGGUACUCCGGGGAUAACAGGCUGAUACCGCCCAAGAGUUCAUAUCGACGGCGGUGUUUGGCACCUCGAUGUCGGCUCAUCACAUCCUGGGGCUGAAGUAGGUCCCAAGGGUAUGGCUGUUCGCCAUUUAAAGUGGUACGCGAGCUGGGUUUAGAACGUCGUGAGACAGUUCGGUCCCUA
rnacentral:rRNA from 1 species